rnacentral:rRNA from 1 species
GACGAACGCUGGCGGCGUGCUUAACACAUGCAAGUCGAACGGAAAGGCCCUGCUUUUGUGGGGUGCUCGAGUGGCGAACGGGUGAGUAACACGUGAGUAACCUGCCCUUGACUUUGGGAUAACUUCAGGAAACUGGGGCUAAUACCGGAUAGGAGCUCCUGCUGCAUGGUGGGGGUUGGAAAGUUUCGGCGGUUGGGGAUGGACUCGCGGCUUAUCAGCUUGUUGGUGGGGUAGUGGCUUACCAAGGCUUUGACGGGUAGCCGGCCUGAGAGGGUGACCGGCCACAUUGGAAUUGAGAUACGGCCCAGACUCCUACGGGAGGCAGCAGUGGGGAAUAUUGCACAAUGGGCGGAAGCCUGAUGCAGCAACGCCGCGUGCGGGAUGACGGCCUUCGGGUUGUAAACCGCUUUCGCCUGUGACGAAGCGUGAGUGACGGUAAUGGGUAAAGAAGCACCGGCUAACUACGUG